UGCAGUGUUUUUUCUUUCAAAAUGAAAAUGUCUUUAUUCAAGCUCCCUGGGAAGAGUUCCACUCCCACCCUUGUUGAAUGAAGCUUGCCACUGAGCAAGCCCUUUAGCCACCAGCCUCUCAACAGUCCACAUGUCUAACAUGGGAAGAGCUAACACUCACAUAGUGCUUCCUGGUGUGCCAGGCUUGGUUCUAAGAACAUUAGAGAUUAUAUUGUGUGUGUUUUUUUUUAAUCAGAAAGUUUGCUAUAUAUGGAGAAACCAAGGCAUGGAGAGGUUAGUGUCCAAAGCUGGCAUUAUCCAUCCAUCCAGCGAGACUCUUUACAAAUCCCGGAGAAGUGCAAGUGACAAAGGCAGCACUGGGAACCCUUUUGCUGUGACACCCCACACAGCUACCUCUUCCACCCUCAGAGUGAGGAGCAGCCCUUGGGUAAGAAAGCGACACUGACUGAAUCAAUUGGGUCACUCCACGGGAGUUUGGGCUGACUAAAUAGACACAGACAUAGAAAGUACCUUUUUCUUUCGGUUCAGUGACCAUUCCUCAGCCACAGCUCCCACAAGGGGGGCAAGGCAAGCAAGAAAGAGGGAGCACGCCUCGAACCCAGGUUUUACUAAUGGGGGAAGCUAAUCUAUGGAACAUUCCAUCCAAAAAAGGGCACAGGGGUAGGAUUACAACAGAGGGGAGGGUGUCACUCAACCCAAUCAGGUGACGCCCACUCCCUGAGCUGCAUCUUCUUAUCCAAGCAGAGGUAAAGUUCACCUGUAGUGCAAUGGCUGCGAUACCAGUCCAGUAUCUCUUUACUCAGGACUUAACAGUGUGUCCACAGCUCCUGUCCAGAGUGGCUCCUGACAAGGUAUGGCUGGUUCU
rnacentral:lncRNA from 1 species